rnacentral:rRNA from 1 species
UACGGAGGAUUCAAGCGUUAUCCGGAAUUACUGGGUGUAAAGGGAGCGUAGACGGUAAUGUAAGUCUGGAGUGAAAGGCGGGGGCCCAACCCCCGGACUGCUCUGGAAACUAUGUUACUGGAGUGCAGGAGAGGUAAGCGGAACUCCAUGUGUAGCGGUGGAAUGCGUAGAUAUAUGGAAGAACACCAGUGGCGAAGGCGGCUGUCUGGUCUGCAACUGACGCUGAGGCUCGAAAGCAUGGGUAGCGAACAGG